rnacentral:rRNA from 1 species
GAUGAACGCUGGCGGCGUGCUUAACACAUGCAAGUCGAGCGAAGCACUAAAGCGGAUUUCUUCGGAUUGAAGGUUUAGUGACUGAGCGGCGGACGGGUGAGUAACGCGUGGGUAACCUGCCUCAUACAGGGGGAUAACAGUUGGAAACGGCUGCUAAUACCGCAUAAGCGCACAGUACCGCAUGGUACGGUGUGAAAAGCUCCGGUGGUAUGAGAUGGACCCGCGUCUGAUUAGGUAGUUGGUGGGGUAACGGCCUACCAAGCCGACGAUCAGUAGCCGACCUGAGAGGGUGACCGGCCACAUUGGGACUGAGACACGGCCCAAACUCCUACGGGAGGCAGCAGUGGGGAAUAUUGCACAAUGGGGGAAACCCUGAUGCAGCGACGCCGCGUGAGCGAAGAAGUAUUUCGGUAUGUAAAGCUCUAUCAGCAGGGAAGAAAAUGACGGUACCKACUAAGAGCCCCGWYYUUYG